rnacentral:rRNA from 1 species
GUAAUGCGCUGGUCCGGUUGCAUGUGCUGGUUCGAUCAUGGCUCAGAUUGAACGCUGGCGGGAUCGCUGCACAUGCAAGUCUGAACAGCGGCGGACAGUCUGGUGGCGAGUGGCGAACGGGUGAGUAAUGUGGCGGAACGUGCUAGUAUGGGAUGCUACGCGAAAGCGUAGCUAAUACCGCAUACGCCCUUCGGGGGAAAAGCGGGGAUAGCCCGGGCCUCGCACUAUUGAAACGGCCGAUAUCGGGUCAGCUAGUUGGUGGGGUAACGGCUCACCAAGGCGACGAUCCGUAGCUGGUUUUGAGAGGACGACCAGCCACACUGGGACUGAGACGGCCCAGACUCCUACGGGAAGCAGCAGUGGGAAUUUGGACAAUGGGGGAAACCCUGAUCCAGCCAUCCCGCGUGUGCGAUGAAAGCUGGCCCAGGUUGUAAAGCACUUUUGGCAGGAAAGAAACGGCACGGGAUAGCUGCCGGUACAACUGACUGAAUACCUGCAGAAUAAGCGCAGGCACUCGUGCCAGCAGCCGAUACGUAGGGGUGCAAGCGUUAAUCGGAAUUACUGGGCGUAAAGCGUGCAUGAGCGGUUCGGAAGAAAAGAUGUGAAAUCCCAGAGCAGCAACUUUUUGGAAUUCACAUUUUAACUACCGAGCUUCAAGUGUGUCCAGAGGAGGUGGAAUUCCGCGUGUAGCAGUGAAAUGCGGCAAAUAUGCGGAGGAACACCGAUGGCGAAGGCAGCCUCCGCAGGAUAACACUGACGCUCAUGCACGAAAGCGUGAGGCAAACGGGAUUGAAUACCCUGGUAGUCCACGCCCUAAACUUGAUGUCAACUAGCUGUUGGGGCCUUCGGGCCUUUGGUAUUGCAGCUAACGCGUAAUGAAAGUUAAUGCACCUGGGGAAAUACGGUCGCAGAAUUAAAACUCAAAGGAAUUGACGGGAUACACAAGCGGUGGAUCAUGAUAUGGAUUAAUUCGAUGCAACGCGAAAAACCUUACCUACCCUUGACAUGUCUGGAAUCCCGAAGAGAUUUGGGAGUGCUCUUUUAGAGAACCGGAACACAGGUGCUGCAUGGCUGUCGUCAGCUCGUGUCGUGAGAUGUUGGGUUGGGGUCCCGCAACGAGCGCAACCCUUAACGUCAUUAGUUGCUACGAAGGGCAUCUGUGGACUGCCGGUGACAAACCGGAGGGAAUUGGGGAUGACGUCAAAGUCAUGUGGCCCUUAUGGGUAGGGCUUCACGUCAUACAAUGGUCGGGGACAGAGGUCGCCAACCCGCGAGGAGAGCCAAUCCCAGAAACCCGAUCGUAGUCCGGAUCGCAGUCUGCAACUCGACUGCGUGAAGUCAGAAUCGCUAGUAAUCGCGGAUCAGCAUGUCGCGGUGAAUACGUUCCACAGGUCUUGUAUACACCACCCGUCACACCAUGGGAAUUAGGUUUUACCCAGAAGUAGUUAGCCUAACCGUAAGGAGGGCGAUUACCACGGUUGUGACCACAGGUGAAGUCGUAACGAAGUG